GGUAAAAUGGCUGAGGAAUAAGCAAUAAAUUGUAAAUUUAUUUACGAAUGAUUAAUUCUUUUACCAA
rnacentral:tRNA from 3 species